rnacentral:rRNA from 1 species
GUUAUAUGGUCAAGUGAAGAAGCGCAUACGGUGGAUGCCUUGGCAGUCAGAGGCGAUGAAAGACGUGGUAGCCUGCGAAAAGCUUCGGGGAGUCGGCAAACAGACUGUGAUCCGGAGAUGUCUGAAUGGGGGAACCCAGCCAUCAUAAGAUGGUUAUCUUGUACUGAAUACAUAGGUGCAAGAGGCGAACCAGGGGAACUGAAACAUCUAAGUACCCUGAGGAAAAGAAAUCAACCGAGAUUCCCUUAGUAGUGGCGAGCGAACGGGGACCAGCCCUUAAGUUGUAUUGAGAUUAGCGGAACACUCUGGAAAGGGUGGCCAUAGUGGGUGAUAGCCCUGUACGCGAAAAUCCCUUUGCAAUGAAAUCGAGUAGGACGGGGCACGAGAAACCUUGUCUGAAUAUGGGGGGACCAUCCUCCAAGGCUAAAUACUACUGACUGACCGAUAGUGAACCAGUACCGUGAGGGAAAGGCGAAAAGAACCGCGGAGAGCGGAGUGAAAUAGAUCCUGAAACCGUAUGCGUACAAGCAGUGGGAGCCCACUUUGUUGGGUGACUGCGUACCUUUUGUAUAAUGGGUCAGCGACUUAUUUUCAGUGGCGAGCUUAACCGAAUAGGGGAGGCGUAGCGAAAGCGAGUCUUAAUAGGGCGUCUAGUCGCUGGGAAUAGACCCGAAACCGGGCGAUCUAUCCAUGGGCAGGUUGAAGGUUGGGUAACACUAACUGGAGGACCGAACCGACUACCGUUGAAAAGUUAGCGGAUGACCUGUGGAUCGGAGUGAAAGGCUAAUCAAGCUCGGAGAUAGCUGGUUCUCCUCGAAAGCUAUUUAGGUAGCGCCUCAUGUAUCACUGUAGGGGGUAGAGCACUGUUUCGGCUAGGGGGUCAUCCCGACUUACCAAACCGAUGCAAACUCCGAAUACCUACAAGUGCCGAGCAUGGGAGACACACGGCGGGUGCUAACGUCCGUCGUGAAAAGGGAAACAACCCAGACCGUCAGCUAAGGUCCCAAAGUCAUGGUUAAGUGGGAAACGAUGUGGGAAGGCUUAGACAGCUAGGAGGUUGGCUUAGAAGCAGCCACCCUUUAAAGAAAGCGUAAUAGCUCACUAGUCGAGUCGGCCUGCGCGGAAGAUGUAACGGGGCUCAAACCAUGCACCGAAGCUACGGGUAUCAUCUUAUGAUGAUGCGGUAGAGGAGCGUUCUGUAAGCCUGUGAAGGUGAGUUGAGAAGCUUGCUGGAGGUAUCAGAAGUGCGAAUGCUGACAUGAGUAACGACAAUGGGUGUGAAAAACACCCACGCCGAAAGACCAAGGUUUCCUGCGCAACGUUAAUCGACGCAGGGUUAGUCGGUCCCUAAGGCGAGGCUGAAAAGCGUAGUCGAUGGAAAACAGGUUAAUAUUCCUGUACUUCUGGUUAUUGCGAUGGAGGGACGGAGAAGGCUAGGCCAGCCUGGCGUUGGUUGUCCAGGUUUAAGGUGGUAGGCUGAGAUCUUAGGUAAAUCCGGGAUCUUAAGGCCGAGAGCUGAUGACGAGUGUUCUUUUAGAACACGAAGUGGUUGAUGCCAUGCUUCCAAGAAAAGCUUCUAAGCUUCAGGUAACCAGGAACCGUACCCCAAACCGACACAGGUGGUUGGGUAGAGAAUACCAAGGCGCUUGAGAGAACUCGGGUGAAGGAACUAGGCAAAAUGGCACCGUAACUUCGGGAGAAGGUGCGCCGGUGGAGGUGAAGCAUUUACUGCGUAAGCCCCUGCCGGUCGAAGAUACCAGGCCGCUGCGACUGUUUAUUAAAAACACAGCACUCUGCAAACACGAAAGUGGACGUAUAGGGUGUGACGCCUGCCCGGUGCCGGAAGGUUAAUUGAUGGGGUUAGCGCAAGCGAAGCUCUUGAUCGAAGCCCCGGUAAACGGCGGCCGUAACUAUAACGGUCCUAAGGUAGCGAAAUUCCUUGUCGGGUAAGUUCCGACCUGCACGAAUGGCGUAACGAUGGCGGCGCUGUCUCCACCCGAGACUCAGUGAAAUUGAAAUCGCUGUGAAGAUGCAGUGUAUCCGCGGCUAGACGGAAAGACCCCGUGAACCUUUACUAUAGCUUUGCACUGGACUUUGAAUUUGCUUGUGUAGGAUAGGUGGGAGGCUUUGAAGCGUGGACGCCAGUCUGCGUGGAGCCAACCUUGAAAUACCACCCUGGCAACUUUGAGGUUCUAACUCAGGUCCGUUAUCCGGAUCGAGGACAGUGUAUGGUGGGUAGUUUGACUGGGGCGGUCUCCUCCUAAAGAGUAACGGAGGAGUACGAAGGUGCGCUCAGACCGGUCGGAAAUCGGUCGUAGAGUAUAAAGGCAAAAGCGCGCUUGACUGCGAGACAGACACGUCGAGCAGGUACGAAAGUAGGUCUUAGUGAUCCGGUGGUUCUGUAUGGAAGGGCCAUCGCUCAACGGAUAAAAGGUACUCCGGGGAUAACAGGCUGAUACCGCCCAAGAGUUCAUAUCGACGGCGGUGUUUGGCACCUCGAUGUCGGCUCAUCACAUCCUGGGGCUGAAGCCGGUCCCAAGGGUAUGGCUGUUCGCCAUUUAAAGUGGUACGCGAGCUGGGUUUAGAACGUCGUGAGACAGUUCGGUCCCUAUCUGCCGUGGACGUUUGAGAUUUGAGAGGGGCUGCUCCUAGUACGAGAGGACCGGAGUGGACGAACCUCUGGUGUUCCGGUUGUCACGCCAGUGGCAUUGCCGGGUAGCUAUGUUCGGAAAAGAUAACCGCUGAAAGCAUCUAAGCGGGAAACUUGCCUCAAGAUGAGAUCUCACUGGAACCUUGAGUUCCCU